rnacentral:pre_miRNA from 1 species
GUAUGCCUGGCUCCCUGUAUGCUGUUUGCAGAGUCCAUCCUGAGUGUUUGAUGGUCUUCGUGGAUGGCGUGCGAGGAGCCAAGCAUAU